rnacentral:rRNA from 1 species
UGCCAGCCUCCGCUGUACUCCUGAUUGGGCUAUCGUUAUUCGGAUUUACUGGGCGUAAAGCGCACGUAGGCGGCGUAUCUAGUCAGAGGUGAAAGCCCGGGGCUCAACCCCGGAAUUGCCUUUGAUACUGGUAUGCUUGAGUUCGGAAGAGGGUAGUGGAAUUCCAAGUGUAGAGGUGAAAUUCGUAGAUAUUUGGAAGAACACCGGUGGCGAAGGCGGCUACCUGGUCCGAUACUGACGCUGAGGUGCGAAAGCGUGGGGAGCGAACAGGAUUAGAUA